CUCCAGCCUGUCACUUCGCUUUGGGAUUGCCCACGCAGAGAGCCAGGAAAUUGCUGCCAUUUCCCUGAAUGCUGGACAAUUUAUCCAUGCUUGUACCUUCGAGCCUGCCAGUGAAGUCACAUCUCCAUUGGCAACAUCACAAUCGUCUCCACAGCAACAAAUGUGAUGCUGCAGAUCGCUGAAACGUCUAUUUUUGUAAAGGGAAAUCAUCUCAGUGGCACGAUUUGGGGGUGACAUCUGCAUUGAGAGCUGAGCCCUUGCAGAGGGCAGCGCACAGAGCACAGACCAAUCCUGGCUGUGCAGUGACAUUUACCCUAAAAUCCCGCCCAGGCAAGCAGGAGAGGCCAGACAGAACUCCUACAAACGAAAGAGGAAAACAUGGAGGAAUAUUAAGCAGACAGAACUGGUUCACUCUGGAAUUUUACCAGGAGGAGAUUGACUCAGAGCACACAGAGCACCCCUCCCCUCAGGGGCUUCACUGCAUUUCCUGCUCACAGAUAAUGGACACACACCUGGGGAUGGCACCUUUGCAAUGCUGCAUUUCCAACACGCCAAACACUUCCCCCUUUCUUCACAAGUCCAGCAACUUCCUGAGAAUGCAGCUGCACUGAGGUAAUGUGCCAUUACACCCAUGUUGAAUUGAUGAGGAAAGGCAAAAAAGCCACUUUUUCUCCUUGAACUCCCAGCACUUCUGUGAUUUGCUGCAAGCAGACCACGGCGACAGGGAUUGUUUUCCUCUGUUUCAGAAAGUAACACGACCCACCAGCUAAAGUCCAGUCCUAAAGCUCACCCAGCCUGUGACAGCAGUGACACAGCUCAGCACCCACUGCAAAACAGAAGCCACUGACCACAAAAUACAAAGGACAGGGGUUAAAAAAAAUAAAUAAAAGAAAAAAAAAAGAAAAAAAAGGAAAAAAAAGAAAAUAUAUAUUUGUUUCUUAAUAAGACAAGGCAUUUUAUAUAAAAGAACAGGAGCAAAUGACUAAUUUUGCUUGUCCCCAGUGACCCCAUGCAGCUGCAACAAGACCUCAGUGAGGUUUAAGGCGUCAGGCAGAGCCUUUCACCUCCAGCCCAGUGGAAGUCACUGAGCUUAAGCUGCACAAAUAGAGAUGCUCAGAUGUUCCUGUCCUCACUUUAACUCAGCACACGCUGUCAGGGGGGGAACAUGCUUUUGGAGAUGGUGGGGGGUUUCCCAAGGACAAACCCACUUCAAAGCAA